rnacentral:sRNA from 1 species
UUAUUUCUGUGUUCAGUGUAAUGAGGAUCUUUGUAAAACUUGCGAGGAACAGCACAAAACUCACGAUGUCCUUAUAUACAGAGAGAAAUACCCCACCAUCUACCCAGAGAAGUGCUCCACCCACCCGCAGGAGAGUUAUUCCUUCUUUUGUAGGGAGUGCGAGGUAUCGCUCUGUGAGUCCUGUGUCCAGAGCCUUGGGCAUUCAAGGCACCUGCUUGUGGACAUCAAGACGGCUUAUGACGAACACCGUCAGAAUUACAGACAAUGGUGUUACAGAAUUCGAUCCGAAGAACUCCCUCGCUGCCAGAUCCAGCAAGGUAGAGUCGACGGGGAGCUUGAAGAAAGACGGGCUUUGUUUAGGGAUAUACUAGAUCGCAUUGAGAACCAGGCGGCCAAAAUAAAAUCGCUUAUAACUGAACUUGUUGAUGAAAACAAAAAAGGCAUUGGAAGACCUUCAGAGCACUCAGUUAAAUGAUCUUGAAAGAACAAAAAGUGAGCUUCUGUCAAACAGUACCCAUCUGAGCGAGAUUUUGGAUGGCUUUGAAAAGUCAGCAAGCUAUCCAGCACGAUUUUUGUCGUACGUAAAAGCACAUCCAAAGCUUGUAUUACGGUGUCCAAAUGUUCCCGAUUUUCCGGUACCUUUUUAUGAACAGAGUGAUUUGAAUCGAGAAGAUAUUUGUAAAUUAAUUGGACGUAUUGAAACAAGGGCAUCAAAGCCUACAUCUAGAACCCCUUCUAAGGUGGCUGUGAGACAGAAAAUAGACGUCCCAGAACUGACCAGUAUACGACAUAUUUCUCACUUUGGAACGAACCAGGUAUGGGUCAGUGAUUCAAGCAACCUGGUUUGUAAAGACUUGGACACCAUGGAGUCAUCUCGAAAGUUGUCUGUUUGUAAGGACGGCUAUGGCUGUCAUACGAUAAACGACAAGGGGGAACUUUUUUUACAUAGAUACCAACUUAAAUAUUCUCAAAUGGUCAGAGAAAAUGAAGGACAAACUACGCCCUUAUGUCGAGAUAACCAAACCGUGGGUGCCAAUGAGUGUCCAUUUCUCACGCCAAACUAACACAUUGUUGGUUGGGAUGGUUGUACCACUGAAAAAAGCCAAAGUGGUUCGGUAUAACGACAGCGGCCAGGGAGUGCAGACUUUAGAGGAGAACAGAGAAGGGCAUGCGCUGUACGAAGCACCUGCUUACAUCACUGACAAUCUGACCGGGGACGUGAUUGUGUCCGACUAUAAGAAGAAGGCUGUGGUAGUGGUGGACAGGGACGGGGGCCACAGGUUCUCCUACAGGGGCCCUGUCCUGGGAUUUCUCCAACUAUUAUGGCCGCGCGGGGUCACGACCGAUAACCAGGCCAAUAUCCUCGUCUCCGACUUCAAUGCUCAGAACUGUGUACAUGUUGUGGACAAGGAAGGGCACUUCCUAAAGGUCCUGGAAAUAGACGCCGGCUUACUGAAGCCUUUUGGUCUAAGCUAUGAUUAUUUGAAUGGACUGAUAAUGGCUGGAUCUUGUAAUAGUCAAACACUUCAUGUGCAACAUUAUUUAGCGUAAUUCAUUGUAAAGCUCUGGUCUGUAACACCCCCUCCCCCGUGGGAGGAGGAUCAGGUAGAAUACAUGUUGUCGAGGUUCGCACGACGCUGUUUUAAUCGAUGUUUUAAUAUGUUUUCUUUUCUUUUC